rnacentral:rRNA from 1 species
UACGUAGGGAGCAAGCGUUGUCCGGAAUCAUUGGGCGUAAAGCGCGCGUAGGCGGCCUUGUAAGUCCGUUGUGAAAGUCAAAGGCUCAACCUUUGAAAGCCGAUGGAUACUGCAAGGCUGGAGUCCGGAAGAGGCGAGUGGAAUUCCUGGUGUAGCGGUGGGAUGCGCAGAUAUCAGGAGGAACACCGGUGGCGAAGGCGGGUUUCUGGGCCGUUACUGACGCUGAGGAGCGAAAGCGUGGGGAGCGAACAGG